GUCUACGGCCAUACCACCCUGAACGCGCCCGAUCUCGUCUGAUCUCGGAAGCUAAGCAGGGUCGGGCCUGGUUAGUACUGGGAUGGGAGAAAAGGACAAAGGGGGAUUUAUGUGGCAAUAAAGC
rnacentral:rRNA from 1 species